rnacentral:siRNA from 1 species
UGAUGGUUCAUUAGAUGGA